UCCGUAGGUGAACCUGCGGAAGGAUCAUUACCUAGAGUUUGUAGACUUCGGUCUGCUACCUCUUACCCAUGUCUUUUGAGUACCUUCGUUUCCUCGGCGGGUCCGCCCGCCGAUUGGACAACAUUCAAACCCUUUGCAGUUGCAAUCAGCGUCUGAAAAAACAUAAUAGUUACAACUUUCAACAACGGAUCUCUUGGUUCUGGCAUCGAUGAAGAACGCAGCGAAAUGCGAUAAGUAGUGUGAAUUGCAGAAUUCAGUGAAUCAUCGAAUCUUUGAACGCACAUUGCGCCCCUUGGUACUCCAUGGGGCAUGCCUGUUCGAGCGUCAUUUGUACCUUCAAGCUCUGCUUGGUGUUGGGUGUUUGUCUCGCCUCUGCGUGUAGACUCGCCUUAAAACAAUUGGCAGCCGGCGUAUUGAUUUCGGGGCGCAGUACAUCUCGCGCUUUGCACUCAUAACGACGACGUCCAAAAGUACAUUUUUACACUCUUGACCUCGGAUCAGGUAGGGAUACCCGCUGAACUUAAGCAUAUCAAUAAGGGGGGGGAAAAGAAACCAACAGGGAUUGCCCUAGUAACGGCGAGUGAAGCGGCAACAGCUCAAAUUUGAAAUUUGGCGUCUUUGGCGUCCGAGUUGUAAUUUGCAGAGGGCGCUUUGGCAUUGGCAGCGGUCCAAGUUCCUUGGAACAGGACGUCACAGAGGGUGAGAAUUCCGUACGUGGUCGCUAGCCUUUACCGUGUAAAGCCCCUUUGACGAGUCGAGUUGUUUGGGAAUGCAGCUCUAAAUGGGAGGUAAAUUUCUUCUAAAGCUAAAUACUGGCCAGAGACCGAUAGCGCACAAGUAGAGUGAUCGAAAGAUGAAAAGCACUUUGGAAAGAGAGUUAAAAAGCACGUGAAAUUGUUGAAAGGGAAACGCUUGAAGU
rnacentral:sRNA from 1 species